rnacentral:tRNA from 1 species
GCGGAAGUAGCUCAGUGGUAGGGCACUGCCUUGCUAGGCAGGGGUCGGAGGUUCAAAUCCUCUCUUCUGCU